GAUGAACGCUGGCGGCGUGCCUAAUACAUGCAAGUCGAGCGAACGGACGAGAAUCUUGCUUUUCUGAUGUUAGCGGCGGACGGGUGAGUAACACGUGGAUAACCUACCUAUAAGACUGGGAUAACUUCUGGAAACCGGAGCUAAUACCGGAUAAUAUUUUUAACCGCAUUGUUCAAAAGUGAAAGACGGUCUUGCUGUCACUUAUAGAUGGAUCCGCGCUGCAUUAGCUAGUUGGUAAGGUAACGGCUUACCAAGGCAACGAUGCAUAGCCGACCUGAGAGGGUGAUCGGCCACACUGGAACUGAGACACGGUCCAGACUCCUACGGGAGGCAGCAGUAGGGAAUCUGCAGCAAUGGGCGAAAGCCUGGCGGAGCAACGCCGCGUGAGUGAGGAAGGGCUUCGGAUCGUAAAACUCUGUUAUUAGGGAAGAACAUAUGUGUAAGUAACUGUGCACAUCUUGACGGUACCUAAGCAGAAAGCCACGGCUAACUACGUG
rnacentral:rRNA from 1 species